UCUGGUUGAUCCUGCCAGUAGUCAUAUGCUUGUCUUAAAGACUAAGCCAUGCAUGUCUAAGUAUAAAUAAUGUACAUUGAAACUGCGAAUGGCUCAUUAAAACAGUUAUAGUUUAUUUGAUAAUUGAAUUCUACAUGGAUAACUGUAGUAACAUAGAGCUAAUACAUGCUGAUAAACCUGACUUUUUGGAAAGGUUGUAUUUAUUAGAUCCCAAACCAAUAUUCCUUCGGGUCUAUUGUGAUGAUUCAUAAUAACUGGUCGGAUCGGGGCUUUGCCCUGAUAAAUCAUUCAAGUUUCUGCCCUAUCAGCUUUCGAUGGUAGUGUAUUGGACUACCAUGGCAAUCACGGGUAACGGGGAAUUAGGGUUCGAUUCCGGAGAGGGAGCCUGAGAAACGGCUACCACAUCUAAGGAAGGCAGCAGGCGCGUAAAUUACCCAAUCCUGAUUCAGGGAGGUAGUGACAAGAGAUAACAACUCGGGGGCUCACGCCUGUCGAGAUUGCAAUGAGGACAAUAUAAAUCACUUAUCGAGGAACAAUUGGAGGGCAAGUCUGGUGCCAGCAGCCGCGGUAAUUCCAGCUCCAAUAGCGUAUAUUAAAGUUGUUGCAGUUAAAAAGCUCGUAGUUGAACUUCUGGUCAAGUUACUGUUGGCUUCGGUCGAUAGUAAGUUGGCCAUCCGUUAGAGAACCACAUUACGUCCUUCAGUGGUCGGUGUGGCGAUCUGGCAUUUUACUUUGAAAAAAUUAGAGUGUUCAAGGCAGGCAAUCGCCGUGAAUACACAAGCAUGGAAUAAUGGAAUAGGACUAUGGUCCAUUUUGUUGGUUAUUGGACCUUAGUAAUGAUUAAUAGGGACAGUUGGGGGCAUUAGCAUUUAAUUGUCAGAGGUGAAAUUCUUGGAUUUAUUAAAGACUAACUUAUGCGAAAGCAUUUGCCAAGGAUGUUUUCAUUAAUCAAGAACGAAAGUUAGGGGAUCAAAGACGAUCAGAUACCGUCCUAGUCUUAACUAUAAACUAUGCCGACUAGGGAUUGACUGGGUAACCAAAAGGCUCAGUCAGCACCUUAUGAGAAAUCAAAGUCUUUGGGUUCUGGGGGGAGUAUGGUCGCAAGGCUGAAACUUAAAGGAAUUGACGGAAGGGCACCACCAGGAGUGGAGCCUGCGGCUUAAUUUGACACAACACGGGAAAACUUACCAGGUCAAGACACAGGUGGGA
rnacentral:rRNA from 1 species